CCUACGGGAGGCAGCAGUGGGGAAUAUUGCACAAUGGGGGAAACCCUGAUGCAGCGACGCCGCGUGAGUGAAGAAGUAAUUCGUUAUGUAAAGCUCUAUCAGCAGGGAAGAAAAUGACGGUACCUGAGUAUGAAGCCCCGGCUAAUUACGUGCCAGCAGCCGCGGUAAUACGUAGGGGGCAAGCGUUAUCCGGAUUUACUGGGUGAAAAGGGAGCGUAGACGGCAGUGCAAGUCUGGAGUGAAAGGCGGGGGCUCAACCCCUGGACUGCUCUGGAAACUGUACGGCUGGAGUGCAGGAGAGGUGAGUGGAAUUCCUAGUGUAGCGGUGAAAUGCGUAGAUAUUAGGAGGAACACCAGGGGCGAAGGCGACUUACUGGACUGUAACUGACGUUGAGGCUCGAAAGCGUGGGGAGCAAACAGGAUUAGAUACCCGUGUAGUC
rnacentral:rRNA from 1 species